rnacentral:lncRNA from 1 species
AUCAACUGUCCUACAUAUCAUAACUGAGUAACAAAAAUGCCGGUGCGCAUUAGUGCCCACAGUUCGCAAAGUGCUAUUCGGUCGCCAGAUGAGCACGAAAGCAAUUGUGCAAAAGCAAUGC